UACGAAGGGGGCUAGCGUUGUUCGGAAUUACUGGGCGUAAAGCGCACGUAGGCGGAUAUUUAAGUCAGGGGUGAAAUCCCAGAGCUCAACUCUGGAACUGCCUUUGAUACUGGGUAUCUUGAGUAUGGAAGAGGUAAGUGGAAUUCCGAGUGUAGAGGUGAAAUUCGUAGAUAUUCGGAGGAACACCAGUGGCGAAGGCGGCUUACUGGUCCAUUACUGACGCUGAGGUGCGAAAGCUAGGGGAGCGAACGGG
rnacentral:rRNA from 1 species